rnacentral:misc_RNA from 1 species
GAUGAAGAACGUAGCGAAAUGCGAUAAGUAGUGUGAAUUGCAGAAUUUAGUGAAUCAUCGAAUCUUUGAACGCACAUUGCGCCCUUUGGUAUUCCUUAGGGCAUGCCUGUUCGAGCAUCAUCUACACCCUCAAGCACAGCUUGGUGAUGGGCGCCUGUCCCGCCCCCCACGGGGGCGCGGACUCGCCUCAAAUGCAUUGGCGGCCGGCGACCUGGCUUCGAGCGCAGCAGAAACGCGUACUCGGGGACCGGGCGCCCGCUCCCAGAAGCCAACCCACCCAGUUUGACCUCGGAUCAGGUAGGGAUACCCGCUGAACUUAAGCAUAUCAAUAAGCGGAGGA